GAGAAAUCCUACACUUAUGAAUUUUUGAGAAGAUCAAGGAACGUAGAUCAAGAAACAGGGACAAGGGCACGGCUUGAUUAUCUGUCCUAAUCAGGAAUAAGAUAACAGUAAGUUUUGGCUGACGUGGGUUAUAGGAACUCCAAGUGUUAUCAGGUUCGGCGGCUGACGCAUAUUGGCAACCUUCUCCUCCUCAUUAUUUUGCAUGUAGAUAAAUGUAUAGUAUAUAGAGUGGUGAGAGGGUUCCACUACUUUAUAAGAUAUUUUGAAAUAUGUAUCGAAUAAGUGUUGGUUUGAAUUUAUAUAAUAUGAGUGUUUUAUGAAUUA